AUACUUACCUGGCGUAGGGGAUACCGUGAUCAUGCAGGUGUUCCCCCGGGGCGAGCUGCUCCAUUUCACUGCGGAUUGGUUGACCCUUGCGAUUAAUUUUAUUUUUAUAAAUAAUCUAAAAAAUGUAUAUUCGAUUAAUUGCAUUAUCUUUAUAC
rnacentral:snRNA from 9 species